AGAGGGCUCGGCCCUCGGCUGACGGCUCAGUAACACGUGGAUAAUCUACCCUAAGGUGGAGGAUAACCUCGGGAAACUGAGAAUAAUACUCCAUAAGUCUAGGAUACUGGAAUGUACUUAGGCUGAAAACUUCGGUGCCCUACGAUGAGUCUGCGGACUAUCAGGUUGUAGUCAGGGUAAAGACCUGACUAGCCUACAACGGAUACGGGUUGUGAGAGCAAUAACCCGGAGAUGAUAUCUGAGACACGAUAUCAGGCCCUACGGGGCGCAGCAGGCGCGAAAACUUCACACUGCGCGAAAGCGCGAUGAGGGAAUCCCAAGUGCUUGCACGUAAGUGUAAGCUGUUUCUAUGUUUAAAACGCAUAGAGAGUAAGAGCUGGGUAAGACGGGUGCCAGCCGCCGCGGUAAUACCUGCAGCUCAAGUGGUGGCCGUUAUUAUUGGGCCUAAAACGUCCGUAGCCGGUUUAUUAAAUGCCUGGGUAAAUCGGGCCGCUUAACGGUUCGAAUUCCGGGUAGACUGAUAGACUUGGGACCGGGAGAAGCUAGAGGUACUCCUGGGGUAGAGGUGAAAUUCUGUAAUCCUAGGGGGACCACCAGUGGCGAAGGCGUCUAGCUAGAACGGGUCUGAC
rnacentral:rRNA from 1 species